UUCUGUAUUACAUGCUAUGCAUCAUGGCAUUUUAGCACACAUUGGCUACCUUGUCCGCUCUCCAGCCUGGGUCAAUUGCAGUAUAAUGAUGCUAAUUUUGAAGGUUAGCUAGCUGCAAAUUUUUAUGUGAUUUUUGUUUGUAUUUAUGUUGUUGGACGCUUUAGUAAGAACAAGAAAUCGAUUGCCUAUGGUUUAUUUAUUUAUAUCAUA
rnacentral:lncRNA from 1 species